GACAGAGGGUGCAAACGUUGUUCGGAAUUACUGGGCGUAAAGCGCGUGUAGGCGGCAGGGCAUGUCGGAUGUGAAAUCCCGUGGCUCAACCACGGAAGUGCACCCGAAACUGCCCAGCUCGAGUCUCGGAGAGGAAGGCGGAAUGCUUGGUGUAGAGGUGAAAUUCGUAGAUAUGGGGAAGAACACCCGUGGCGAAGGCGGUUCUCUGGGACGGUACUGACGCUGAGACGCGAAAGCGUGGGGAGCGAACAGG
rnacentral:rRNA from 1 species